rnacentral:lncRNA from 1 species
AGAAGAAGCGUGAUUCUUGAGUUCGUGACUGUGUUAUGAGAUAAACCUACUCAAAGAUCAUUGAUCCAAAGCCUUUCUCAACUUGAGUGUAUCAGAGAUACCUAAGGGCCUCAAUGGAACCUCGGGCAGUGCUCACCCCCAUGUUUCAAAACCAGAAUAGGGACAAGUACAGUGUGGAAGUGCCAGCCCUCAAGUGUCCAAGUUCAGAGCGAGCUCAUAGGUCCCAAGUGAAGGCUCAUAAGAGGAGGGAAAAACUUAAGUCUAAGAAAUAUUGGAAGUGCAGAAACAUAAUUUUAAGAACUAAGAAAGUAAAGAAAGGGGAAAGGGGUGCUGAGAAACUGUUACAUAGUUGAUAACUUUACACAAUAAAAGGGUCAAGGGUUGGGAACUUAUUUCAGAGAGCCUAUGUUCUUAGGUAAAGGGGUCAGCCUUGGGCAUGCACAUCAAUUGAAGAUGUAGGCAUGCCUACAAGCCCACCAGAACACACAAUACUAGAGAAACAUAGAAAUUACAAUCCCAGGGAAUAAAGUUUGAAUCAUGGAAAACAAUGCUUAGUACUUUCAUACCUCAAACAAACCAUCAAUAUCAAAUACAUUGGGGUAGGGGUUUAGGAUACUUAAUACAGAGAUUCAGAAUAUGAGAAAAGAAAUUACAACAUGCUAGAAUAAAGUACCGUGUUAAAUACAAGUAGUAGGCAGACAAGAACGCAAACUUAUUAAGUAAAGAUAUUGUUGUGAUGCUGAAAUCUUAAUCAGAACAUACCAGUUCAAGAAGAAAAAUAAAGUAAAAGUAGGCUGCAGGAUUUUGAAGAUUGGCCGCAGUAUAUGUAGCAAGAGAGAAUGUUUCGAGUGUAUGUGAGUUUUAGAACUAAGAGUGUUCGUGUAUCCCCGUGUUAAUGAAAGAGUAAGGUAUUUAUAGUUUGAAAAUAGGUAGAAAAUUGAAUAAGGCAAGAAUCAUAGUUUAGCAAUAACUAUGGAACUAUGUACCAAUUAAAAUUAAAUUAGUGUAAGUACCUUCUUCAAUAAAGGAGUUAAAAUUAAAUGGUAACGUGCAAAUACUAAAUAAGGAAAGAAAUCACGUGACGCUAAAUAUGACAAAUAAGUAAGUAUCUUCAACGUAGUACAAGUACACCAUAGGUAUUAAAGACUAGGUUCAUAAGAUUCUAAUAAAGGAAAGGUCGGUAGGAAACAAAUACCAAUUUAACCAAGGUACGGGAAUUAAUCAAAUUGAGUAGAAAAGGUAGGGAUCGAAGGUUCAAAGGAAAGUGUUCAAAUUGGUCCAAUAAAUAGGGAGAUCACUAAAAUAAGGAAAGAAUCAAUUACUUAACACGCGAGUGCAAUCAAAAUAACACAAGGAGUGGCUUGAAAUCAGUUCACAAUUGAAGGUUGUUUUAGAGGAAAAUUUAGCAUAUACAAGAGUCCAUAAACAUUAGGCAUGCGAGGCUGAACUUAUGACAAAUAGAAGCAUCAUACAAUAACAAUCACAAAGUCAGUAGAUAGUGAACUAUCGAAACAUGGUAUUCACAUAGGUCACUUUCACCAACUUAAUAAUAGAGAAAAGAGAUAGUAUCAGAAGCAUGCAAAAGGUCAAUUAAAAAGACCUUUCUAAAAACAAAGUCGAGUUUCAAUAAUGGCAGGAAAUCAAAAUCACUUAAAGAAACAGCUGCUGAAUAAAAAAGGGUUUGAAAUCCAGUCGAGCAACUUCAAACAGGUGAAACAGCUUCAGAAGGUUGAAUAAGCCCCAAAUAAAUUUGGGUUUUGAAACCAAUAGAAUUCAGAGUUAAUGAACAAGUAAAUCACAUAGCAAAUAGUCUUAGAACUGGAAUGAACCUAAU